AGCUUUGCGCAGUGGCAGUAUCGUAGCCAAUGAGGUUUAUCUGAGGCGCGAUUAUUGCUAAUUGAAAAGUGUCUGACACAUAAAAAGCAAUCUUUUUUGUUAUUUGCAUUAAUCUUUAAAUUAUUUAUUUAUAAAAU